AUCAACGCUGGCGGCGUGCCUAACACAUGCAAGUCGCGCGCGCGAAAGGGGGGCAACUCCGAGUAGAGCGGCGGAACGGGUGAGUAAACGCGUGGGUAAUCUACCUUCGAGUGGGGAAUAACCACCGGGAAACUGGUGCUAAUACCGCAUAACAUCCUUGGGCCGAAAGGUUUGGGGAUCAAAGCUGGGGACCGCAAGGCCUAGCGCUUGAAGAGGGAGCCCGCGUCCGAUUAGCUAGUUGGCGGGGGUAACGGCCCCACCAAGGCGACGAUCGGUAGCCGGCCUGAGAGGGCGGACGGCCACACUGGGACUGAGUCACGGCCCAGACUCCUACGGGAGGCAAGCAGUGGGGAAUUUUUCGCAAUGGGGGGAAAACCCUGACGAAGCAACGCCGCGUGGAGGAUGAAGGCCUUCGGGUUGUAAACUCCUGUCGACCGGGACGAAAGUGAUCCGAUCUAAUAAAUCGGGUUAUCGACUGUACCGGUGGAGGAAGCCACGGCUAACUCUGUGCCAGCAGCCGCGGUAAUACAGAGGUGGCAAGCGUUGUUCGGAAUUACUGGGCGUAAAGGGGCGCGUAGGCGGUCUUGUCAGUCUUGUGUGAAAUCCCUCGGCUUAACUGAGGAACUGCACGGGAUACUGCGAGACUUGAGAUCGGGAGAGGGAAAGCGGAAUUCCGGGUGUAGCGGUGAAAUGCGUAGAUAUCCGGAGGAAAACACCGGUGGCGAAGGCGGCUUCCUGGACCGAUACUGACGCUGAGGCGCGAAAGCUAGGGGAGGCAAAACGGGAUUAGAUACCCCGGUAGUCCUAGCUGUAAACGAUGAGUGCUGGGUGUAGGGGGGUACUAACCCUCCUGUGCCGAAGCUAACGCAAUUAAGCACUCCGCCUGGGGAAGUACGGUUCGCAAGGCUGAAACUCAAAGGAAUUGACGGGGGCCCCGCACAAGCGGGUUGGAGCAUGUGGUUCAAUUCGACCGCAACGCGAAGAACCUUACCGGGGUUUGAAACUGCACAGGACAGCUCUAGAGAUAGAGUCUCCCUUCGGGGUCUGUGUAGAGGUGCUGCAUGGCUGUCGUCAGCUCGUGUCGUGAGAUGUUGGGUUUAAGUCCCGCAACGAGCGCGACCCUUGCCUCCUGUUGCCAUCAGGUAAAGCUGGGCACUCUGGAGUGACUGCCGGUGGAUAAACCGGAGGAAGGUGGGGGAUGACGUCAAGUCCUCAUGGCCUUUAUGCCCCGGGCUACACACGUGCUACAAUGGUUGGUACAAAGGGUCGCAAAGCCGCGAGGUGGAGCUAAUCCCAAAAAAACCAAUCCCAGUUCGGGUUGCAGUCUGCAACUCGACUGCAUGAAGCUGGAAUCGCUAGUAAUCGCGGAUCAGCAUGCCGCGGUGAAUUACGUUCCCGGGGCCUUGUACACACCGCCCGUCACAUCACGAAAGGCCGGCUGUACUAGAAGUCGUCGUGCUAACUCGCAAGAGAGGCAGAUGCCCCACGGUAUGGUCGGUGAUUGGGGUG
rnacentral:rRNA from 1 species